ACCUGGGGGGCUCAGUCGGUUGAGCGUCUGACUUCGGCUCAGGUCACGAUCUCACAUCUCGUGGGUUCGAGCCCCACGUCGGGCU
rnacentral:tRNA from 1 species